rnacentral:rRNA from 1 species
UAUCUGGUUGAUUCUGCCAGUAGUCAUAUGCUUGUCUCAAAGA